rnacentral:lncRNA from 1 species
GCGAGGCUAGUACUUAGAUCAAGCCCACUAGCAAGCCCACAAGUCAAUUUAUCAACUCCAUGUGCUUUGCUAUUCUUAUACAUGAAAAACAUCUAUAUGUUUUCCAAUGUGGGAUAGCAUUUAUUUUCCCUCUUCAACAUCCAAACUUUGACAUACAAUAUCUCACUCAUCGGAAAUCGGUUUUGAGACUUCAAGUAUAUCACGUUGAUCUACUCGAGAUGUAGAAUAACAUCCAAUAAUUAUUUUAAUUAAAUAAUAAAUAUUUAAUUAAAUAAUAAUUUUCAGAUAUGGCAUAAAACCAUAUUUCCAAAACCAUAUUUCCAACAAUCCCC